CUAGGCGGUUGCUAUGGUAUCCAGGGUGGUUGCUAAGGUGUUGCUAGGUGGUUGCUAAGGUGUUGCUAGGUGGUUGCUAUGGUGUUGCUAUGGUAUCCGGGGUGGUUGCUAAGGUGUUGCUAGGUGGUUGCUAAGGUGUUGCUAUGGUAUCCUGGGUGGUUGCUAAGGUGUUGCUAGGUGGUUGCUAGGCAGUUGCUAAGGUGUUGCUAUGGUAUCCUGGGUGGUUGCUAAGGUGUUUCUAGGUGGUUGCUAAGGUGUUGCUAGGUGGUUGCUAAGGUGUUGCUAUGGUAUCCGGGGUGGUUGCUAAGGUGUUGCUAGGUGGUUGCUAGGCGGUUGCUUAAGUGUUGCUAUGGUAUCCGGGGUGGAUGCUAUGGUGUGGUUGCUAAGGUGUUGCUAGGUGGUUGCUAAGGUGUUGCUAUGGUAUCCAGGGUGGUUGCUAGGUGGUUGCUAAGGUGUUGCUAUGGUAUCCUGGGUGGUUGCUAAGGUGUUUCUAGGUGGUUGCUAAGGUGUUGCUAGGUGGUUGCUAAGGUGUUGCUAUGGUAUCCAGGGUGGUUGCUAAGGUGUUGCUAGGUGGUUGCUAGGUGGUUGCUAGGGUGUUGCUAGGUGGUUGCUAAGGUGUUGCUAGGUGGUUGCUAGGUGGUUGCUAAGGUGUUGCUAUGGUAUCCAGGGUGGUUGCUAAGGUGUUGCUAGGUGGUUGCUAAGGUGUUGCUAUGGUAUCCGGGGUGGUUGCUAAGGUGUUGCUAGGUGGUUGCAAGGUGGUUGCUAAGGUGUUGCUAGGCGGUUGCUAAGGUGUUGCUAUGGUGUCUAGGGUGGUUGCUAAGGUGUUGCUAGGUGGUUGCUAAGAUGUUGCUAUGGUAUCCGGGGUGGUUGCUAAGGUGUUGCUAGGUGGUUGCUUAGGUGUUGCUAUGGUAUCCGGGGUGGUUGCUACGGUGUUUCUAAGUGGUUGCUAAGGUGUUGCUAGGUGGUUGCUAAGGUGUUGCUAUGGUAUCCAGGGUGGUUGCUAAGGUGUUGCUAGGUGGUUGCUAAGGUGUUGCUAGGUGGUUGCUAAGGUGUUGCUAUGGUAUCCAGGGUGGUUGCUGAGGUGUUGCUAGGUGGUUGCUAGGUGGUUGCUAGGGUGUUGCUAGGUGGUUGCUAAGGUGUUGCUAGGUGGUUGCUAAGGUGUUGCUAUGGUAUCCAGGGUGGUUGCUAAGGUGUUGCUAGGUGGUUGCUAGGUGGUUGCUAGGGUGUUGCUAGGUGGUUGCUAAGGUGUUGCUAUGGUAUCCAGGGUGGUUGCUAAGGUGUUGCUAGGUGGUUGCUAAGGUGUUGCUAGGUGGUUGCUAAGGUGUUGCUAUGGUAUCCAGGGUGGUUGCUAAGGUGUUGCUAGGUGGUUGCUAGGUGGUUGCUAGGGUGUUGCUAGGUGGUUGCUAAGGUGUUGCUAGGUGGUUGCUAAGGUGUUGCUAUGGUAUCCAGGGUGGUUGCUAAGGUGUUGCUAGGUGGUUGCUAGGUGGUUGCUAGGGUGUUGCUAGGUGGUUGCUAAGGUGUUGCUAUGGUAUCCAGGGUGGUUGCUGAGGUGUUGCUAGGUGGUUGCUAGGGUGUUGCUAGGUGGUUGCUAAGGUGUUGCUAGGUGGUUGCUAAGGUGUUGCUAUGGUAUCCAGGGUGGUUGCUAAGGUGUUGCUAGGUGGUUGCUAGGUGGUUGCUAGGGUGUUGCUAGGUGGUUGCUAAGGUGUUGCUAUGGUAUCCAGGGUGGUUGCUAAGGUGUUGCUAGGUGGUUGCUAAGGUGUUGCUAGGUGGUUGCUAAGGUGUUGCUAUGGUAUCCAGGGUGGUUGCUAAGGUGUUGCUAGGUGGUUGCUAGGUGGUUGCUAGGGUGUUGCUAGGUGGUUGCUAAGGUGUUGCUAGGUGGUUGCUAAGGUGUUGCUAUGGUAUCCAGGGUGGUUGCUAAGGUGUUGCUAGGUGGUUGCUAGGUGGUUGCUAGGGUGUUGCUAGGUGGUUGCUAGGUGGUUGCUAAGGUGUUGCUAUGGUAUCCAGGGUGGUUGCUAAGGUGUUGCUAGGUUGUUGCUAAGGUGUUGCUAGGUGGUUGCUAAGGUGUUGCUAUGGUAUCCGCGGUGGUUGCUAAGGUGUUCCUAGGUGGUUGCAAGGUGGUUGCUAAGGUGUUGCUAGGUGGUUGCUAGGGUGUUGCUAGGUGGUUGCUAAGGUUUUGCUAGGUGGUUGCUAAGGUGUUGCUAUGGUAUCCAGGGUGGUUGCUAAGGUGUUGCUAGGUGGUUGCUAAGGUGUUGCUAUGGUAUCCGGGGUGGUUGCUAAGGUGUUGCUAGGUGGUUGCUAAGGUGUUGCUAGGCGGUUGCUAAGGUGUUGCUAUGGUGUCUGGGGUGGUUGCUAAGGUGUUGCUAGGUGGUUGCUAAGAUGUUGCUAUGGUAUCUGCGGUGGUUGCUAAGGUGUUGCUAGGUGUAUCUAACUGGUCGCUAGGCAGUUGCUACCAUUUCUAAAGUGGUUGCUAAGCAGUUGCUAGGCAGUUGCUAACGUUUUCCAGGUGGUUGCUAAGGUGUUGCUAUCUGGUUGCUAGGCAGUUGCUAACGUAUUACACAUGGUUGCUAAGUGGUUGCUAGGCAGUUGCUAAUGUUUUCCAGGUGGUUGCUAAGGUGUAUCUAACUGGUUGCUAGGCAGUAGUAGAUAAAAAGAAAGAGUGUUAAAUGUAGAAGUACAGAAAAAGGGAGAGCCUGAAAUAGAGAAGUAGAGAGAAAAUCAGCGUGAGAAGUAGAGAAAGAACAUCCGAGAAUGUGAGAAAAAGAGUGACAAGUAGAGAGAAAUAUUGAGCAAGAGAAAGAGAAUUAGGGAAAAAGAGAGAUCGAGAAAUAAAGAAGUAGAGAAAGAAAGAGGAUGUAGUAGAGAGAUAGA